AUUAUCUGUAUAUAUUAUCUCUAAUUGACGGGAACAGAAGUCCAAAAACUUAGUUCUGAAUCCAUCGGAGACUCCGAUCUAAAUCCCGAAUCAGUCUGUACCUGUUUUUGCCCUUCGCCAUCACGCACGCACGGGUUCGUAUUUGUCUUUGAAUGUUCUAAAUCUCUCUCUGAAUUAUCCUUAAUGCCUGUGUGCUUUGCUCAAAUCUAUAUAUUUUUUUCCUCUCUCUCUCUCUCUGCUUCUCUUGCUUCCAUUCAAUUUUGUGUUUGUAACAUUCUGUGUAAUCCAGCAGUUGAAUUAUUCGAGCGUAAAGCACAAACCUUUUAACCAAUCCAAAAUUUUGAGAAAGCUUGAACCUUUAGUUUAUCGGCCGUCUCUGACCAUCUUUUGUUUCCUGAAACAAUUUCAAUUCCGGUUAAUCUUGUAGUUGGUUGCUGAAAGUCAUGUACUUGUAAUCUUCAUUGACGAAAAUUUUGAGAUAUCAAACUUGGUCAUCUAGUUUAUGUAAUUUCCUUUAUUAACUUGGUCAUAUCAAACUCACUUAUAUGUGACUAUGGGAUUGGGUUUGUUUCCCGUUCCUUAUGACUCUGUUAGACUCGGCUUCUUUCUCCUUCGACCCUUGAAAGCUUCUUACGUGAAUUUUCUAUAUGUUCACUCCAUUAUCACCACUCUUUAUCCUUCCAUUUUCUCAGCUCUUGUUUUGAAUGUGGAACAACGUUGCUGAUAUCUACAAUGAUGUCAACAUACAUAGCAGCAUCAAUGCCUACCAAGAUUUAGCAGUGUCAUUGGAUGAACUCAAAACGACAAGUUCCAUUGUCGUUUUGACUUUCUGGUCUGGAAGACCCAUUGUGUGGCCUAUGCAUUUAUCUCUGAGACAGUACUGCCCCCAUCAAAUGUGUGGGAAAGAUAUCAUGUGAUAUGAAAAGACUCUAAUAACUGAAGGUGAAUAUCAUACUAAGACAGUCUCGGGUAUGGAAAGGAUUUAUUGGCAAUUGAGGGUACAGCCAACGGCAAGCUUAGGCGGUACAUGAUAUCUUACCCAGUAAUAUUUCAUGGCAAUUGAGGGUCGAGAGAUCCCCUCUUACUCAGUAAUAUCGAUUUCAUC
rnacentral:sRNA from 1 species